GGGUCGAUGGCGUAGUUGGUUAUCGCAUCUGUCUAACAUUUAGGUGCUUACACGUGUGUGCACAGAAGGUCCUCAGUUCGAGCCUGGGUCGACUCA